rnacentral:rRNA from 1 species
GAGCGGGCACUUUCGCGGUGUCAGCGGCAGACGGGUGAGUAACACGUGGGAACGUACCCUUUGGUUCGGAAUAACGCUGGGAAACUAGCGCUCAUACCGGAUACGCCCUUUUGGGGAAAGGCUUGCUGCCGAAGGAUCGGCCCGCGUCUGAUUAGCUAGUUGGUGGGGUAAUUGCCUACCAAGGCGACGAUCAGUAGCUGGUCUGAGAGGAUGAUCAGCCACCCUGGGACUGAGACACGGCCCAGACUCCUACGGGAGGCAGCACUGGGGAAUAUUGGACAAUGGGCGCAAGCCUGAUCCAGCCAUGCCGCGUGAGUGAUGAAGGCCUUAUGGUUGUAAAGCUCUUUUGUCCGGGACGAUAAUGACGGUACCGGAAGACUAAGCCCCGGUUAACUUCGUG